AACUUUCAACAACGGAUCUCUUGGUUCUGGCAUCGAUGAAGAACGCAGCGAAAUGCGAUAAGUAAUGUGAAUUGCAAAAUUCAGUGAAUCAUCGAAUCUUUGAACGCACAUUGCGCCCGCCAGUAUUCUGGCGGGCAUGCCUGUCCAAGCGUCAUU
rnacentral:rRNA from 1 species